rnacentral:rRNA from 1 species
UACGAAGGGGGCUAGCGUUGUUCGGAAUUACUGGGCGUAAAGCGUGCGCAGGCGGCCAUCCAAGUCAGUGGUGAAAGCCCGGAGCUCAACUCCGGAAUUGCCAUUGAAACUGUUUGGCUCGAGUACGAGAGAGGUGAGUGGAAUUCCCAGUGUAGGGGUGAAAUGCGUAGAUAUCUGGAGGAACACCGGUGGCGAAGGCGGCAUCCUGGACCGAUACUGACGCUGAGGAGCGAAAGCCAGGGGAGCAAACGGG